rnacentral:lncRNA from 1 species
UACUAUGCACAAUCAUAAAUAUAUGAAUGCAUGUACAAUGAAAUAGGUAAGCAACUAACCUGUUAUCAUGUCCAAAGGUAAAGCUAUUCACUCGUUCGUUUACCUCAUUUAUUCAUUAAUCUCAUGGCUUACCCGAAGGCUCGCCUACAGCUCACUAGCCAUCUCGACGCGUAGGGAGAAUUAACUCAUACUACGAACCCGAGACCGUCUGGCGGGGCCAAAAUAGGCAAUCCCUUGGGACCCAAAAUAGGCAAUCCCACGUGACCAACUCCGGAGCGCACUACUUGUGUGGGGCUUCCAUCACAAGAUUUAAAAAUAGACCGUGAGCAUGAUCCAAUCCUCGUCUCGAGAAUACCCUAUCCUCUAGGGUUACAAUCAUCAUAUAGUCCAUAGGUUUCAUAUACACUACGACUCACAUAUGUCACUUGUUCUUUUGUUUACUAUCAACUAGAUGCCACUCGUUCUUUACAAGUUUCCAAUGCAAUAGCCAAUACAUUACUAAAUUUCCAUCCACACUUAUCAUCUCAUUAUAGGGUUCCACAUCACAUAUAUAAACCUCAAGCAUGCUAGAUAUAAAUACUAAGCC